GCUGGGUGUGGUAGUGCGCACCUGUGAUCCCAGUGACUCAGGAGGCUAAGGCAGGAGAAUGAAAGUUUGAGGGCAGCCUCGGUAACUUAGACCUUGUCUCAA
rnacentral:sRNA from 1 species